UUUGUUUUUAAACUCUAAUUCAUUCAUCAUGAAAAACCAUUUGAAAAUCUUUUUAAAACUGUUUCCCACAAGAAAACUCUGUUUUGAAAACCAGCUACCUCGAGGGGUAGAAAACCACGAUAUGUAAAUAAGAAAAUCUGAUAUCCAUAAAAUCAACAUCCAAAUUCACAAACCUCAGUUCACAUGCAUAAAUAACGAAAACAUCCACAGAUCUACCAAAACCAGAUAUCAACAUUCAAACAAUCAUAAAGAUCAGCUGACUGAACCAUAUAAACUAUCUAAGCUAUAUCAACAGGACAGUAAGGGUAGAAACUAAACCGAAUAACGUGGGUCGGAAGCUCUAGCGACCACUACGAACGUGUCUCACGUCUCGUCUCAACUCUCACCGCCGGCGAUACCUGAAAAAUAGUGGGGGAUGUGAGAACAUGUAAACAUGUCUCCCCUCCCAGUGGGUACCGCAAGCCGAUGAAGGCGAGGAGUACUCACCGGAUCAGGAAGAGAUAUAUAACAAUAUGGUAAACAAAUACUGAUGCUGAUAUAAAGAACUACAGUAGCUAUAACAGAUAAAGAAGAAGUAAUAAACAAUACUG
rnacentral:lncRNA from 1 species